UACGGAGGGGGCUAGCGUUGUUCGGAAUUACUGGGCGUAAAGCGCACGUAGGCGGCUUUGUAAGUUAGAGGUGAAAAGCCCAGGGCUUAACCCUGGAAUUGCCUUUAAGACUGCAUCGCUAGAAUCGUGGAGAGGUAAGUGGAAUUCCGAGUGUAGAGGUGAAAUUCGUAGAUAUUCGGGAAGAAACACCAGUGGCGAAGGCGACUUACUGGACA
rnacentral:rRNA from 1 species